GCGCCCAUAGCUCAGGGGUUAGAGCACGACGCUUAUAACGUCGGGGUCGAUGGUUCAAUUCCAUCUGGGCGCA
rnacentral:tRNA from 1 species